rnacentral:rRNA from 1 species
AUUGAACGCUGGCGGCAGGCCUAACACAUGCAAGUCGAGCGGAUGACGGGAGCUUGCUCCUUGAUUCAGCGGCGGACGGGUGAGUAAUGCCUAGGAAUCUGCCUGGUAGUGGGGGACAACGUUUCGAAAGGAACGCUAAUACCGCAUACGUCCUACGAGAGAAAGCAGGGGACCUUCGGGCCUUGCUCUAUCAGCUGAGCCUAGGUCGGAUUAGCUAGUUGGCGGGGUAAUGGCUCACCAAGGCGACGAUCCGUAACUGGUCUGAGAGGAUGAUCAGUCACACUGGAACUGAGACACGGUCCAGACUCCUACGGGAGGCAGCAGUGGGGAAUAUUGGACAAUGGGCGAAAGCCUGAUCCAGCCAUGCCGCGUGUGUGAAGAAGGUCUUCGGAUUGUAAAGCACUUUAAGUUGGGAGGAAGGGCAGUAAGUUAAUACCUUGCUGUUUUGACGUUACCGACAGAAUAAGCACCGGCUAACUCUGUGCCAGCCGCCGCGGUAAGAC